CAUCUGUCACUGUCUUUAUCUUCCCAACAAGAUUUUUGUCAAAAUAAUUGUGAUCGUGCAGACAACAGACCUCAGCUUUCUGCUUGAAUCCAGCACACAGUGACUACACUGGAAGCAUGCAGAAUGGUGAGGAGCAGGAGAAAUGCAGUUUUGUACUACCUCUUCUUUAUAAGUUCACAGGAUGGCCGGCAGGAGCAGCAUCACUCCAGAAUGCUCCAUUGUCCAUGAGGAAGCAUCAUGCCACCCUGAGGUGCAGUGCUGAACUUUUGGGAACCGGCGAGCGUGAAUCAGAACUGCUACUGGUCCUUGAAGAAGAUAUUCCUCAAGGAGGAACAUCAAGUACUGGCCCAGCAGAACCACUGAGAAAACUGCCAAUGGUUGCCUUUAUUGUCUUGACAUUCUGCACUGUGGCGAGUAUUGUGCAUGCUUCACGAUGUGCAUUGUGUCUUGGGCCACCACGUUGUGGGGGCUCACCCCCUACCUGCUCAGUCAUUAGUUCAUGCUGUGAAGGGGUGGAGUGUAGUGGAAUUCUAAGGUCACAGCCUGAACCAAUGGGUGAGCUAUGUGAGUGUGUGGCUGCCUGGAGCAGGGAGGUGGUCUGGAGCCACCCCUUCUGUCUCUGCAAUACUUCCUGUGCAAUCUGAGUCUGCACGGUUCCCCAUUUUUUACUCCUGUAUUUCAUCCUUGAAAAUAAUUGUUCACAAAUAUAUGUACUGCCAAGAAGUGAUGACAUGAAUAAGGAGUGAUUAUGAAGGGAGGAAAGUUUUUCUCUGGUAACAUAGUGCUUAUGAGAGUGAAGCAGCAUGGUCAGAUCUUUGACUUGAAUUCUGAUUGCAACUUUAUACACACCAUUUAAAAAUUCCCAGGUAAUGUAUUCAUGUCUACUGAAAAUGAAGUUACAAAUGUACUAAAAAAGUGAGGACUUUUUUUAGGUGAUCUUGAAACCUGUUCUCAAAUUCCUUUAUUAAAAUGGAAAGCACAGCUGAAUAUUUUUUGCUGUUCACAGUGCUGUGUUUAGAUAACGUAUCAAAAUGCAUGCAAUUAUUUGCAGUAACUGGAGCUAGAACAACACUGUGUCCUCCCUGUGCCCUGGUUUCAGCUCAGACAGUGCUAACAGAGCACUGACAUUUGGCUGUUGCUGAGUGAUGGGUGCAUUCUCAGGGCGGGGUAUGGACAUCUGGCAGGGCAAAGCCAUAGUGGCAGCAGUAGGCAGAUGGUGCGGGGCAGGGGCAAGGCUUCACUGUCAGCUGCUGCUGGGCCACAUGAGGCCCACAGGCCAUGGGUUGGAUAUGACUAGUCUAAGCUGUUUCCUUCUAUGUCCUUUCCUCUGCUUUGUUUUUGAAGUUGUGGCUAUAGAAUAAGCAAAACAUAAAUAACCAGUUAAAAGCUCAGAAGAGAAGGGCAGUCAUAGACAGUACAGAAUACUUCUUGGGUUGUUCCUAGAUAAUACAUUAUUAUGGGCUGUUUGCCAUUUUCAGCCACUUGUGUGUUGCCAUGACCUUUUAAAUACAUGGAAGUAUUCAGGUAGGAAAAGACCAUAGGAGUUGACCUUAUUCAACCUCCUACUAAAAGAGCAGCUACAUUUGAAUAAAACUAGAUUACUAAAGACUUGAAAAAGAAUGCUGGCACCACUCAUUUUUUCCAAAUCCCUGGCUAAAUUUUGAACUGAAUUCCUUUGUCACCUCAGAUACCUAGCUGGAACAAAUUAGUACUUAUACAAGUCUAAUUUGUUCUCCAUUUCUCUGCUGAAAUACUGGCCCCUGUAAGGAAAUAGGCACUGUGGAAAGGAAGGAUGUCUUUAUGGUAAAGUCAGUGAGUUAUGAAAAUAUCAUGGUUUUGUAACUUUGCUAUUGGUAUUCCACAUCAUAACAUCAUGGACAAAAGAGAAGAACUACGUAUCCCAGAGGACCUCACGGUCAGAGAAGGAAGAUACAUCACGGAAGAUACGUCAUCUGGUUGCGCGCGGUCUUUUUCACUUUCGCUUGCUGCCAGGGAGAGGAGUGGGUGUGCUUCCAAGCCGUGCGCCUUCAUCAAACCAUCUAAAGAACCUGAAGGUGCACAAAUCCAUAGGACCCAACAAGAACUAUCCAUGAGUUAUGAGGGAAGUGGCUGAAGAUGCCAAGCUGCUAUUCAUCAUAUUUGAAAGGUCAUGGCAGUCUAGUGAAGUUCCCACCAACUGGAAAAGGGGAAACAUAAUCCCCAUUUUCAAGAAGGAAAAAAAGAAGAUCCAGGGAGCUAGAGGCCAGUCAGUCUCACCACUGUGCCUGGCAAGAUCAUGGAACAGAUCCUCCUGAAGGCUCUACUAAGGCACAUGGGAAAUAAAGACAAGGUGACUCGUGGUAACCAACGUGACUUCACCAAGGAUAAGUCAUGCCUGACAGACAUGGUGGCCUUUUAUGAUGGAGUUACAGCAUCAAUGUAUAAAGGAAAAGUAAAUGAUGUCAUCUACCUGGACUUGUGCAAAGCAUUUGACACUGUCCCACACAACAUCCUGGUCAUCAAAUUGGAAGAAAAUAAAUUUGAUGGAUGGACUACUCACUGAAUAAGGGAUUGGCUGGAUGGUUGCACUCAGAAAGUUGUGGUCAAUAGCUCAGUUUCCAAGCGGAGAUUGAUGAUGAGAUGAGUGGCGUUCCUCAGGGAUUGGUGUUGGGAUUGGUAUUAUAUAAUAUCUUUGUAGGCAACAUGGACAGUUGGAUUGCACCCUCAGCAAGUUUGCAGGUGACAUCAAGCUGAGUUGUAUAGUUAACACGCUAGAGGGAAGGAAUGCCAUUCAGAGGGACCUGGACAGGCUUGAGAGGUGGGCCCAUGCCAACCUCAUGAAGUUCAAAGAGGUGAAGUCCUACACCUGGGUCAAGGCACUCUCAAGCACAGAUACAGGUUGGGUGGAAAAUGGCUUGAGAGCAGCCCUGAAAAGAAGGAUUUGACUGUGUGAUUGAUGAAAGAUUCAACAAGAGCUGGCAAGUGUGCACUUCCAGCCCAGAAGGCCAACUGUAUCCUGGGUUGCAUCAAGAAAAGUAUGACCUGGAAGUCAAAGGAGGUGAUUCUGACGCUCUACUCUGUGGAAAGACCUCACCUAGAGUACUGCAUCUGGUUCUGGAGCUCCCAGCACAAGAAGGACAUGGAGUUCUUUGAGCAGGUUCAGAGGAGGGCCACGAAGAUGAUCAGAGGGCUGGAGCACCUCCUCUACGCUCCAUAGCCUGGAGAAGAGAAGGCUCUGAAGAAGAUUUUGUAGCAGCCUUCCAGUACUUGAAAGGGGACUACAGGAAAGCUGGGGAGGGACUUUUUAGAAGGGCCAGUAGCAUCAGGAAAAGUGGAAAUAGUUUUGAGCUGGAAGGGUGUGGAUUUAGACUAGAUAUUAGGAAGAAAUUAUUUACUGUGAGGGUGGUGAAGUGCUGGAACAGGUUGCCCAGUGAGGUUGUGAAUGCCCUCUCCUUAGAAACAUUCAAGGUCAGGUUGAAUGGGACUUCAAGCAACCUGGUCCAGACAGAGGUGUCCCUGCCUAUAGCAAGUGUGUUGGAACUAGAUGAUACUAAAGGUCCCUUCCAACCCUAACUAUUCUAUGAUUCUAUGAUUAAAGCCUAUGAAUUUUAAACUGGAAUUUGGAAUCCUGCCAUUAAAUAAUCUUAAACAAGAUGGUAUGCUAUUUGUUGAAUCAAUGGAGUUUUAAUGUCAGUAGCAUUCUUCUUGUGAAAUAUCUUUGUUUUGUUGCUCUGAGCAGAAAUCAGUUCAAUCUGAAAUUAAGAUGGGAGGAAGCAAAAACCAAAAAAGAGCAUUCUGGUGUAUCUCUUGAUAAUCUACUGUCAAUUACCACUGGUUUUACAUAAAUUAGUGUGUGAAUUGUUAUGCCAGUGCAAAUGUCACAAAGAUGAAAACCAUCAGUUCUCCUUCAUCCUUUUUGUGAAAUAAUUUGUGACCCUCAAUCUCUCCUCCCAGAGGUGUGACCUAUUUCUCUUGUUACUGCAAGGCAGAUUGUCAGUGCCAGUUUUCCAGAGACAGAAGAGGUUCUAUGCACAGUCAGUGUAAAGGGCUGUGCAAAGGAUCCCCCAUUUAACAGUGUAAACUUGUCAGGAAGAAAAGAAGUGGGUACAGGUAACUUAACACCUGAAUUUUGAGCAAUGACUUGUGUAUCCAAAUUGUAUUGGUAACCCUUUCUAUGCAAUUUCCAGGUGCUUAAGGAUGCCCUCGGUACUGUCAACAUCUUCCUGUGGGGAUGACUAGAGGCUAUGAAGCCUCAUUUCAGGGUUUUGCUUACAGUGUUUUAUUGCUGCAGUGGGCUGAAUUAAAUUCCAGCAUCCAUAAUGUGUGGUUUGUAAUGUAAGGGAAAGCAAGUACACUACACUUGUGAGAUAUAACAGGCAUAUUUAAGCAUUUUGAUUUUAAACAUUCAGUCUUUCAUUGGCUAGCUUGAAAAGAGGUUACAGAACUUAUCAUUUCAUACAGAGACUAAGUUUAGAAGUUGAAAGCAUGUUAUAGCUUAUCAUAUGUAAUACUUCUCAAAUACUAUGCCAGUAAGCUUGGUUUAAAAACAUAAUAGAACAGAUUCUUAGCAGGAUAAGGUAGCUACAAAUACAGUAGCACAGCUGCAGUAUUCUUGAACGAGCAACAUAGCAACAUACAUAAAUGUCACAAGUUAGUUUGGUUGCGAAGCUUCGCAGCAUUCUUCAAACUGUGAUUACAGUGCAACAAAGGAUGCUGUACUCUCCAGACAAGACUGGGUGAUGCAGUGGUGAUGCAGUGCAUUUACAUCUGGGAAAGUUAUAAAGUACAGAGCAUAAGGAUUUUGGAUCCUCUUACUGCUAAGUUAUUAGGAUGUCAACCAGUUAAAC
ensembl:lncRNA